GCAAACUCCAUACAGCGUUAUCGUUCGGGUCAUACUUCCCUUUCUCUACAAACACUGCCAUCGGCCCUUCGGAUGCUUUCGGUUAUUUGCUGCGGAUUAGACUGGAACUACUUUUUCCUUAGCAGCAAUAGCGUCAAAAUGGCUGCCUGGCAGCAGACGCCGGAAAAAAUUACAGACAUAAGCUGUUGUUUCUGUUUCAGAACAAACCUUUCUAAUUGUUAUUCACUUUCUGGUCCGAAGUUUUCAAAAUUCAACAAUCUUUUUUCUUCUUUUUUAAGUUCUAACCAAUUACUACAGGAAAUUACAAACAUACCAU
rnacentral:lncRNA from 1 species